rnacentral:rRNA from 1 species
GGAGGAUGCAAGCGUUAUCCGGAUUCAUUGGGUUUAAAGGGUGCGUAGGCGGCUUUUUAAGUCAGUGGUGAAAUCCUGCGGCUCGACCGUAGAACUGCCAUUGAAACUGAAGAGCUUGAGUACACUGGAGGUAAGCGGAAUGUGUAGUGUAGCGGUGAAAUGCUUAGAUAUUACACAGAACACCGAUUGCGAAGGCAGCUUACCAUAGUGUAACUGACGCUGAUGCACGAAAGCGUGGGGGGAGCGAACAGGAUUAGAUACCCUGGUAGUCCACGCCCGUAAACCGAUGAUAACUCGCUGUUGGCGAUACACCGCCAGUGGCUUAGCGAAAGCAUUAAGUUAUCCACCUGGGAGUACGGUCGCAAGAUUG